ACAGGUGAUGAAAUGAAGACAAAAGGAUUUUGAGUAAAUGAUAGAAUGAUGAAAUUGCCUAAUAAUUUUUUAUUCUUUCAACUGGGGCUCAGAAAUUUUAAGCCAGUGAAAGUCUAACACUGGAUGAAAAUGGACCUACAGUACAAGGUGGACUUGAUGGUAGAGAAGACAGUCACAGAUGUGGCAGGGUUUACCCAAAAGUAGUUCAUCUCAGGUUUGCUCAUGUGACUGAAAUACCAGCAUCACUAACUGUUGCAGGACCCAAAGGCAGUGGCUGCAAUGCUUCUCUGGGGGUAAAAUGGAAAUGCACUGAGCCAUUAUCAAAGUGAGCUCCUUGGUAUGAUAUGCUUUUUUUGUUUCCUAGGAGAACAAAUUUGACAUAAGAGAAUAUGGUACAUGUGAUGGCAUCAAAAAAAAAGAGAGGAAGAAUGGAGUAGGAGCAAAGUUUCCAUCUGAAAUGACUGGAGUGCUGCAGAGGGGCCCUGGAGAGUCACUGAGGUUGCUGAAAUGGGAGCAAGGGAGGCACCAUGAUGACCUUGCAAUAUUAGCUCCUUUUUCAUUCUUUCUCUGCAUCAUAGUCUUCAGAGAAAUUGCUUAUAUACUGAGAGCACACUGGGGUUGAAGGAUUAAUAUUUUGACACCUUUGUAGCACAUGUGCAGCCACAUAUAGAAUAAGGAAUCUGUGUUUUCAGGACAAAUAUAGCAGUCUUAGUUUGGACUAUUGAUA